CAUUCCAUGCAAGUGUUUUCU
rnacentral:miRNA from 13 species